GCCACUGUAGCUCAUCUGGCAGAGCAGCACAUUCGUAACGUGCAGGUGGCCGGUUCGAUCCCGGCCAGUGGCUCCA
rnacentral:tRNA from 7 species